GACGAACGCUGGCGGCGUGCCUAACACAUGCAAGUCGAGCGAGUGGAUCUCCUUCGGGAGAGAAGCUAGCGGCGGACGGGUGAGUAACACGUGGGCAACCUGCCUCAUAGAGGGGAAUAGCCUCCCGAAAGGGAGAUUAAUACCGCAUAAGAUUGUAGCUUCGCAUGAAGUAGCAAUUAAAGGAGCAAUCCGCUAUGAGAUGGGCCCGCGGCGCAUUAGCUAGUUGGUGAGGUAACGGCUCACCAAGGGGACGAUGCGUAGCCGACAUGAGAGGUUGAGCGGCCACAGUGGGACUGAGACACGGCCCAGACUCCUACGGGAGGCAGCAGGGGGGAAUAUUGCACAAUGUGGGAAACCCUGAUGCAGCAACGCCGCGUGAGUGAUGACGGCCUUCUGGUUGUAAAGCUCUGUCUUCAGGGACGAUAAUGACGGUACCUGAGGAGGAAGCCACGGCUAACUACGUGCCAGCCGCCGCAGUAAUAC
rnacentral:rRNA from 1 species